rnacentral:piRNA from 1 species
AAUGUGAAUUAAACAGUAGUCGUGGU